GGCCGAGUGGCGCAAUGGUAGCGCGCUGGUUUCCGGUACCAGAGGUUUGCGAGUUCGAGUCUCGUCUCGGUCG
rnacentral:tRNA from 1 species